AAUUAGCCCCGAUGGAAGCAAGUAUCCUUUUUUAUAAACGCUUGGAAUUUAUUCAUCGUUUGGAAUGCGAAUGGGUUGCGUUUAAAAAAAGAUGCUGCGCACAGCGGGAGGAUGU
rnacentral:sRNA from 1 species